rnacentral:SRP_RNA from 1 species
CAAUAUAAUAUAUGGGAUGACAAUUUAAGAUUGCCCUUAUAUAGUUCCGCUGGUAUGGUUUGGGUCCUGCGCAAUGAGACACCGUGAACCUUGUCAGGUCCGGAAGGAAGCAGCAAUAAGCGGAGGUUCUUAUGUGCCGCAGAUAAGCCUUCUCCAACGCCUGCGGAACUAUACAAGGGCAAUUUUGUUUUUUUAUACGG